CAGAGGUGGCAAGCGUUGUUCGGAAUUACUGGGCGUAAAGGGCGCGUAGGCGGCCAUCUAAGUCAGACGUGAAAUCCCCCGGCUUAACCUGGGAACUGCGUCUGAUACUGGGAGGCUUGAGUAUGGGAGAGGGAUGUAGAAUUCCAGGUGUAGCGGUGAAAUGCGUAGAUAUCUGGAGGAAUACCGGUGGCGAAGGCGGCAUCCUGGACCAUUACUGACGCUGAGGCGCGAAAGCUAGGGGAGCAAACGGGAUUAGAUACCCCGGUAGUCCUAGCCCUAAACGAUGAAUACUUGGUGUGGCGGGUAUCGAUCCCUGCCGUGCCGAAGCUAACGCAUUAAGUAUUCCGCCUGGGGAGUACGGUCGCAAGGCUG
rnacentral:rRNA from 1 species